GUGGGAGCAAAGCUUGCUCGCGAUGCAGGCACCUCGGUUCCCUGAGAGACCGAGUUAUCUUCAUCGCGGGCAAGCCUUGCUCCCAC
rnacentral:misc_RNA from 1 species